CUGUAAACUCCUUCAUGACUGGGUUAGGGGCAGGAUUGUUCUUUGAUACCAUUUAAUUAUAGUCUAAAAAUGAAGCCAGGCUUCAUACCCACAGGCUUGGGUCCCAACCUGGUUCCAACACUUAGCUAUCUGGCUUAGGGUCCUGGUUCCAACACUUAGCUAUCGGGCUUAGGGUCCUCUGAGAGCUCAGACUCAGUUCCUAGGCUGUAAAAGGCACCAGAAAUACAACAGGGCAAAGAUCACAAGACCUAAAAUGCUGGGAAGGAGUUGGUACGUGGUGAGCAUGGAACACUUUGUCCUCCUUCCCUGAAUAGCUGAGACCUUCCAUGAAUUAGAGAACCAAGUCUUCACUGAUUAGUGCUCGCUCUGGGGUACUUGACAAGAGAAAGGAGACACUGAAUAAUUACAUAGCGCAGUGGAUAAAGGUGCCGCCAAGCCUGACAUGAGUUGGGGUCUCACAAGGUAGAAGACGAGAACCAACUCCCACAAAUUGCCUGCCCUCAUAUCUCCAGAUGCACGUUAUAGCACAUGAGCCCCAGCCCCCUACAGUAAAUUUAAUAAAAAGGCAUUACAUCUAUCCCAGGAUCAUAUCCUGGGUGCAUGGCCACUCCACCCGGCUUAGUGACAACCUGUGAACCGCAGACUUGGUGAGAGAAAAACAGUCCCUAAGAAUGGCGCCAAGCAUAAAUAUCUGUUGAAUCAAAAAUCAAGCGAGUCAAUAAAAAAGCAAAGACAGAAACGUCCCACCCCGCCGAGCCCCCAGCCCAGCCGCACCCUGUCCUGGAGCCCUAUUAAGCCAUAGUCCCCAAAGUCCGCUUGUCUACAGCCCCGCCUCCGAUUGCCUUGGAAACAGUGACGUUAAUCGAGGGGGUGUGGCCUCUCUCCAUCCUCUCAAACGUUGUGAGCCGCGCCUUAGCACAACCUGGAGGGGAAGAUGAGGUUAAGGUUGCUGGGUACUCCCCCGUUCCUUAGGCCGGAGAUAGCUAAGCACACCGGUCUGCGCCCACGAGAGAGCCCACCUUGCGCUUGCCCUUGGCAAUUUAGCGUAAGAUCGCGAGAGUGCGGGCCUGGGUCCCCGGGAACCGCCCCUGGCGAUUUAGGGGGCUUCUGGAGACUGCAGGCUUGGGUCCUCGGAAGACCACCAUACUCUCCACCCUCGACGUUGUCCUGGUGGGCGCAGUCCUGCGCCUACCCGGGCACCCCAGACUCGCUGCGCGCCCUAGGCGCGGGCGGGAAGGGGUUAAGCAAGGUGCUGGCUCGGGGCGCGGCUCACGGCGCGUGUGGAGGAGGGGAGCGGGGAAGAAAGUGAGAGCGGGGGCGGGGGACCCGAGCGAAAGAACAUCCUGUGCCGCCGCCGGAUGCGAGAGGCGGGGGCGCGGGGGAAGCUGGGCGAUGCGCUCCGCCCCGCGCUCCUCCUCCCGGGCGCUGCCCGCUCCCGCGCUUCGUACUGCUUCUUCUGGUCCCCACGCCUUCGCGGGUCAUGAGCUUGCCAGAGGGGCCCCUCAGCUCGAGUUCCCCGGCAGGGGUUCAGCCUCCACAGGCAGCUCCACGCGGCGGAUCUCCAUCCACGUCCCUUUCCACGGUGGACAAUGUCAGCUAAACUGACCUGCAAGGAAGCCCUGGAUGAUACCAACCCCAGAAGUUGAAAA